rnacentral:rRNA from 1 species
GACGAACGCUGGCGGCGUGCUUAACACAUGCAAGUCGAGCGGUAAGGCCCUUUCGGGGGUACACGAGCGGCGAACGGGUGAGUAACACGUGGGUGACCUGCCUUUAGCUCUGGGAUAAGCCCGGGAAACUGGGUCUAAUACCGGAUAUGACUCCAUGACGCAUGUUGUGGGGUGGAAAGCCUUGUGCGGCUGAGGAUGGGCCCGCGGCCUAUCAGCUUGUUGGUGGGGUGAUGGCCUACCAAGGCGACGACGGGUAGCCGGCCUGAGAGGGCGACCGGCCACACUGGGACUGAGAUACGGCCCAGACUCCUACGGGAGGCAGCAGUGGGGAAUCUUGCGCAAUGGGCGAAAGCCUGACGCAGCGACGCCGCGUGAGGGAUGACGGCCU